UACGUAGGGCGCAAGCGUUGUCCGGAAUUAUUGGGCGUAAAGAGCUCGUAGGCGGCUUGUCACGUCGGGUGUGAAAACCCAGGGCUCAACCCUGGGCCUGCAUUCGAUACGGGCAGACUAGAGUUCGGUAGGGGAGACUGGAAUUCCUGGUGUAGCGGUGAAAUGCGCAGAUAUCAGGAGGAACACCGGUGGCGAAGGCGGGUCUCUGGGCCGAAACUGACGCUGAGGAGCGAAAGCGUGGGGAGCAAACAGG
rnacentral:rRNA from 1 species